AUUGAACGCUGGCGGCAUGCCUUACACAUGCAAGUCGAACGGCAGCAUGGAAGAGCUUGCUCUUCUGAUGGCGAGUGGCGAACGGGUGAGUAAAGCAUCGGAACGUACCGUGUAGUGGGGGAUAACGUAGCGAAAGUUACGCUAAUACCGCAUACGCACUGAGGUGGAAAGCAGGGGAUCGCAAGACCUUGCGCUAUACGAGCGGCCGAUGUCAGAUUAGCUAGUUGGUAGGGUAAAGGCCUACCAAGGCGACGAUCUGUAGCGGGUCUGAGAGGAUGAUCCGCCACACUGGGACUGAGACACGGCCCAGACUCCUACGGGAGGCAGCAGUGGGGAAUUUUGGACAAUGGGCGAAAGCCUGAUCCAGCCAUGCCGCGUGAGUGAAGAAGGCCUUCGGGUUGUAAAGCUCUUUUCGGCUGGGAAGAAAUCGCACAGGCUAAUACUCUGUGUGGAUGACGGUACCAGCACAAGAAGCACCGGCUAACUACGUG
rnacentral:rRNA from 1 species